AAACUUACCAGGUCAAGACAUGGGCGUGAUUGACAGGCUAAUGACUUUUCUCGAUUCCAUGGAUGGUGGUGCAUGGUCGCACUUAGUUGGUGCAGUGAUUUGUCAGGUUUAUUCCGGUAACGAACGAGACCUCGGCCUUGUAAAUAGCUAUGCUGCUUACAGGGACAUUGGCGGCUACGCCAAGGAAGCUCGAGGCAAUUGCAGAUCUGGAAUGCCCUUAGAUGUCCUGGGUCGCACGCGUGCUACAAUGACGCCACGAACGAGCUUGCGUGAUGAAAGUUACGCAUAAUCAGCAGUCGGCGUCUUAAGGGAUAGUCUCUUGUAACUGUGGGACUCCAACUAGGAAUGUCUCGUAAGCACAAGUCAGCAUCUUGUGUUGAUUACGUCCCUGCUCUUUGUACACACCGCCCGUCGCUCCUACCGAUCGAGUGUUUAGGUGAAUUUGAUGGACGUAAGGAAGUCAAAUAAACCUGAGCACUAGAGGAAGAGAAGUCGAUAUC
rnacentral:rRNA from 1 species